rnacentral:antisense_RNA from 1 species
CUUCACCGACCCGAGCCACAGCGGCUGGUCGGCGGGACGUUCCUGACCGUAGGUGGCGAGCAGCGCCUGGGCCUC